ACGUCACACACGACAUCCUCGCCUGCAUCACCCUUGCGGCCGUUCGUAUGCUUAUCGAACUGGAAGUAAUACACGCCAGCGAUCUCUCACCCUCUCACAUAUGCGAGCGACCUCUCGCCCUCCCUUACGCGCGAAUGAAUCUCUCGCGAUCGGCCUUUCGCGCACGCACAAUCUCACGCAGCGACGCACAUGCACUUUUAUCGCAUCUCUCGCCUCGCGCGCUCGCAUAAUGAUUUUCACAUAUGCACACAACCGAGAUAUUGCCAUUGAUGCUGUUCGAAAAUUAUUUUAAAAGCCAUUAAUGUCAACGUCAAUCUCUUUGAAACUAUCUCGUUAUUCCGUAGACUCUUGCGUUUAUUCAUCGUGAUUUUGAAAAGGAAAUUAAUAAAUUAUCACAGGGUAAUUUUGCAUAUACAUAUGUUAUAAAUAAAGAUAGUGGUGCUAUAUGUGUGUGAACGCAAGAUUAAUUCGUGGGACGACGGUGUACCGUAAAUGUGCACCUCCGUAACGCGCAUGCGACAUAAUUCACCGGCGGAGCAGCCUUGAGAGGAAUAAAUAGACGAAACAUUAAAGCGGCCAUGAAAUCAUCUCGAAUUAGAGUAGCGUCGUCGCUCGACCACGCUCGCACGUGCGGUAACGUCGGGACGGCGUCGCAUGGUCAACCUCGUAACCUCACAUCGGCACAUGCGUCAAUGGUCAAUCUGCCAAGCCGCGGUAUCCCGUCGUUCCUGAUUCGUCACUGUGACACGUCGUUUACCGCCAGACAACGAUCGACCGCCGUGCGACGGUAGUGCAUGCUCAAUCAAGAUAACAGUUGCAUUAGCGUUCCGGAGAGAGAUCGAGCGAGCGUGGCCGGCUGGAUAGUUUAAAUGUCACGGGGAAUAUCACCGCUCGGGAC